rnacentral:lncRNA from 1 species
CGUGAGCCACGAUGCUCGGCCUAUAUCUCAUUUCUUCAUCCCCUUAGACAAGCAGAAGAAAAAUAACUUUCUGAAUCCACCCAGGAAUCAGCUUAUUCAGACCAGAUCAAUUGUUAAUAGCAAUAAUACAGAAACACUUACACAUCAAUUUGGCUUUACUUGUACAGAAAGAGCCGGGCAUAGUGGCUCACACCUGUAAUCCCAGCACUUUGGGAUCGCUUGAGGCUAGGAGUUUGAGAUCAGCC